rnacentral:rRNA from 2 species
AUCCAGACUUUGAUCCUGGCUCAGGAUGAACGCUAGCUACAGGCUUAACACAUGCAAGUCGAGGGGCAGCAUAUCGGUAGCUUGCUACUGGUGAUGGCGACCGGCGCACGGGUGAGCAACGCGUAUCCAACCUUCCCAUGACUGGGGAAUAACCUUGCGAAAGUAAGACUAAUACCCCAUGGUUUCCGUGGCGGACAUCCAAUUUGGAAUAAAGAUUCAUCGGUCAUGGAUGGGGAUGCGUCUGAUUAGCUUGUUGGCGGGGUAACGGCCCACCAAGGCGACGAUCAGUAGGGGUUCUGAGAGGAAGGUCCCCCACAUUGGAACUGAGACACGGUCCAAACUCCUACGGGAGGCAGCAGUGAGGAAUAUUGGUCAAUGGACGAGAGUCUGAACCAGCCAAGUAGCGUGCAGGAUGACGGCCCUAUGGGUUGUAGACUGCUUUUAUACGGGAAUAAAGUCAAUCACGUGUGGUUGCUUGUAUGUACCGUAUGAAUAAGGACCGGCUAAUUCCGUGCCAGCAGCCGCGGUAAUACGGAAGGUCCGGGCGUUAUCCGGAUUUAUUGGGUUUAAAGGGAGCGUAGGCCGCCGAUUAAGCGUGUUGUGAAAUGCCGCAGCUCAACUGUGGCACUGCAGCGCGAACUGGUUGGCUUGAGUGCGCGGAGGGCAGGCGGAAUUUGUGGUGUAGCGGUGAAAUGCUUAGAUAUCACGAAGAACCCCGAUUGCGAAGGCAGCUUGCCGCAGCGUAACUGACGCUGAAGCUCGAAAGUGCGGGUAUCGAACAGGAUUAGAUACCCUGGUAGUCCGCACGGUAAACGAUGGAUGCCCGCUGUUCCGGUUUCAAAUUGGAGUGGCCAAGCGAAAGCGUUAAGCAUCCCACCUGGGGAGUACGCCGGCAACGGUGCAACUCAAAUGAAUUGACGGA